AAACGGAGAGAUCUGAGAUUCUGUGGCAUUGAUUCCACUUCUUUUAAGCCGAUGAUUCUCCUUGGGACCUCAAUUAUCUUUGCUGCCAUCCUGGUUCCCAGGACUAUCCAAGCCAGGGGUCCCCAACUCUGGGACAGUGGCCUACUACUGGGCUGUGGCCUGUUUGGAACCAGGCCAGGGAAGUGGCAGGCGAGCACAGGCAUGCGCACAGCUCCACUUGUGCAAGCAGCAGAUAUUUGGUUCCAGGCCAAGAUCAUCGGCAAAAGAUGCCUAAAGAACCCAGCUUGCUUUUCUUCCCUAUUGGAAAACUGUCCUUCCUAAAAGGAACUCAGUUAAGAGCCAGGAUAACAUGUAUGGCUUCAAACAAUGAGUACUAUAUGAUUAAACAAAAGCUAUGAAAUGAAUGCAGGAUAUUCCUAAUCUACAGAAGAAAUAAUCUACUGUGCUAUGUUUAAUUCUGACUAGCUAUUCAUUAUUGUUGUCAACUUGAAUAAUUCUUGUUUCUCCAUUCUGAAUUUAACAAACUUCCAUGAUCAGUCACCUGCUCAUACAAAAACAUUAAAGAUUAUACUAUCUCAUGAAAAACAGGAAUAUGGCAGAUAAACUGGAAUCUUCUGCUAUGUUUAAUUCUUCACAAGCAGCAUAUUUGCACCCUCACUAUAGUAGAACAAACAGCUGCAAAAUCAGAGAAAAUCUUAAUGCAGCAACAGAAAUAAAUGUACUACAGGUAGUCCCCAAAGUACAACCGUAAAGGAGCCUGCCCAUUAGUAAUGGUUGUAAAAGAAUUUGAUCAUGUCACCGUGGGAUGCAACAAACAGCCGUAAAUAUAGCUGUGUAACCGAGUGCCCAAAGUCUGGUUACAUGACUGUGUGGUGGUGGGCCUGACCGAGGGAACUAUAUGGAUCUGUAUGGUAAGUACAGCAACAAAGAUGAU